ACGCUGGCGGAUGCUUUACACACGACAAGUUGAGCGGCAGCGCGGGACUCAGGCAACUAGAGCCCUAGGCGGCGAGCGGCGAACGGGUGAGUAAUAGCAUACGGAACGUAGUACCCGUAGUAGGGGGAUAACUCGGCGAAAGCCGAGCUAAUACCGCAUAUAGCUCUACGGAGGAAAGCAGGGGACCUGCAAGGGCCUUGCGCUAUGGGAGCGGCCGAUGUACCGAUAUAGCUAGUAUGGUAGGGGUAAUAGGCCUACCAAGGCGACGAUCGGUAGCUGGUCUGAGAGGAUAGAUACAGCACACUGGGACUGAGACACGGCCAGACUCCUACGGGAGGCAGCAGUGGGGAAUUUUGGACAUGGGGGCAACCCUGAUACCAGCCAUGCCGCGUGCGGGAAGAAGGCCUUCGGGUAUGUAAACCGCUUUUGGCCGGGAAGAAAAGGGCGGGGCGAAUAGCCCUGUCAUUUAGACGGUACCGGCAGAAUAAGCACCGGCUAACUACGUGCCAGCAGCCGCGGUAAUACGUAGGGUGCGAGCGUUAAUCGGAAUUACUGGGCGUAAAGCGUGCGUAGGUGGUUCGUGUGUCUGUGGUGAAAGCCCCGGGCUUAACCUGGGAAAUGGCCAUGGAAACUGGCGAGCUGGAGUACUAGGCAGAGGGGGGUGGAAUUCCGGUGUAGCAGUGAAAUGCGUAGAGAAUGGCGGAGGAACACCGAUGGCGAAGGCAGCCCCUGGGCUAAGACUGACGCUAGAGGGACACGAAAGCGUGGGGAGCAAACCAGG
rnacentral:rRNA from 1 species